rnacentral:misc_RNA from 1 species
AAGUCGUAACAAGGUUUCCGUAGGUGAACCUGCGGAAGGAUCAUUAAUGGAAUAAACCUGGUGGACUGUCGCUGGCUCUCUUGAGAGCAUGUGCACGUCUGUCAUCUUUAUCUUUCCACCUGUGCACCUUUUGUAGACCUGGAUGCUUAAUAUAUCAAUCUGAGGUCAACUCAGGCGUGAGGACUGUCGGCGUCGCAAGAUAUCGGCUUUCCUUGUAGCAUUCCAGGGACUAUGUUUUUCAUACACACUUUAAAAAUCUAAUAGAAUGUCGUUUUAAAAAGGUCUUUGUACCUAUAUAAAACAAAUAUACAACUUUCAGCAACGGAUCUCUUGGCUCUC